CUGCCCACUGAUAAAUUUUUUAAAGGGCCGCGGUAUUCUGACUGUGCAAAGGUAGCAUAAUCGUUAGUUUUUUAAUUGGAAUCUUGUAUGAAUGGUUUGACAAAAGAAAAUCUGUCUUUAUAAUUAUUUAUUGAAUUUAACUUUUAAGUGAAAAGGCUUAAAUAAAUUAAAAAGACGAUAAGACCCUAUAAAGCUUAAUAUUAAAUUUUUAUUUAAUUAAAUUUUAAAUUAUAAUAAAGAUUUGGUAAAUAAAUUUUAUUUUGUUGGGGUGAUAAUGGUAAAAUGAUUAUUAACUGUUAAUUUUUUUAGACAAAAAUAAAUGAAUAAUAAUUUGUUGUAAAGGAUCCUGUAUUAAAGAUUAAAAGUUUAAGUUACUUUAGGGAUAACAGCGUUAUUUUUUUUGAGAGUUCUUAUCGAGAAAAAAGUUUGCGACCUCGAUGUUGAAUUAAAAUAUCUAUAUAAUUGUAGCAGUUAUAUAAGAAGGUCUGUUCGACCUUUAAAAUUUU
rnacentral:rRNA from 1 species